ensembl:snoRNA SNORD115 Small nucleolar RNA SNORD115
GGGGAGUGCCAAGAUACUUAAACUCAUCUUGAACAGAGAUGAUGACAUAAAAACAAUGCUCAAUAGCAUUACACUGAGACCU